GCACGGACCGCCUCUACCGGGAGGCUGUGGCGGCACCAGUCGCCGGAGCCCCUUCCGCCGCCACGAAGAUCCCAGGAGAGAAGAAGGCCGGCGAGAGGACCUCCCGCGUCGACCCCGGCAAUCGCACCUCGUUAGAGUGUUGUGCUACCGGCAAGGACAUGCCCGAAAGCUCCACCACGCAAAGCAAACGGUCCAGGGU
rnacentral:lncRNA from 1 species